AUACGGUGAAUACGUUCCCGGACCUUGCACACACCGCCCGUCAAGCCAUGGAAGCCGGGGGGACCUGAAGUCGGUAACCGCAAGGAGCCACCUAGGGUAAAACCGGUAACUGGGGCU
rnacentral:rRNA from 1 species